rnacentral:rRNA from 1 species
UUAAGCGUCAUGUGAAAUCCCUCGACUCAACCGAGGAACUGCAUGGCGAACUGGUGGGCUUGAGGCAAGUAGGGGCGUGUGGAACUCUUGGUGGAGCGGUGGAAUGCGUAGAUAUCAAGAGGAACGCCGGUGGCGAAGGCGACACGCUGGGCUUGUCCUGACGCUGAGAUGCGAAAGCCAGGGGAGCGAACGGGAUUAGAUACCCCGGUAGUCCUGGCCCUAAACGAUGUCCACUAGGUCGGAGGUUCUCUGACGGAGUUCCGGCCGAAACAAAAGCGUUAAGUGGACCGCCUGGGGAGUACGGUCGCAAGGCUAAAACUCAAAGGAAUUGACGGGGGCUCACACAAGCGGUGGAGCAUGUUGCUUAAUUCGAUGCAACGCGAAGAACCUUAUCCUGGGCUUGACAUGUACGGAUGCCUACUGGGAAACCAGGUCGGUUGCCCUUCGGGGUGAAACGUACACAGGUGCUGCAUGGCUGUCGUCAGCUCGUGUCGUGAGAUGUUGGGUUAAGUCCCGUAACGAGCGAAACCCUUGUCGCUAGUUGCCAGCGGUUCGGCCGGGGACUCUAGCGAGACUGCCGGUGUUAAACCGGAGGAAGGUGGGGAUGACGUCAAGUCCUCAUGGCCUUUAUGCCCAGGGCUGCAAACGUGCUACAAUGACCGGAACAAACCGACGCGAGACCGCGAGGUGGAGCAAAUCGGAAAAAUCCGGCCCCAGUUCGGAUUGCAGUCUGCAACUCGACUGCAUGAAGUUGGAAUCGCU